rnacentral:rRNA from 1 species
CAGUAGCCGCGGUAAUACGAAGGGUGCAAGCGUUAAUCGGAAUUACUGGGCGUAAAGCGUGCGCAGGCGGUUUGUUAAGACAGAUGUGAAAUCCCCGGGCUCAACCUGGGAACUGCAUUUGUGACUGGCAAGCUAGAGUAUGGCAGAGGGGGGUGGAAUUCCGCGUGUAGCAGUGAAAUGCGUAGAUAUGCGGAGGAACACCGAUGGCGAAGGCAGCCCCCUGGGCCAAUACUGACGCUCAUGCACGAAAGCGUGGGGAGCAAACAGGAUUAGAUACCCCUGUAGUCCCUGUCUCUUAUAC